UAAGACAGGAAGUAGCCGUGACGAACAAUUAUGGCUGUGUACAACAUGGAAAAACUCGCAUGCAUAUUGCUGGCUUUCGGAAUAGUUCUUUUAUACUCAGGGUGUGUCACGUGCCAGGAGAUCGAUAUCGAAUGUUACAAAGGUGACUGUCCCGAGGGUUACACGGACUUUGACGUUUGUGGAGAAUGUGGUUGGAUAUAUACAUGUUGUGCCCCACCGCUCAGGGUAUUCCACUUCGGGCCGUUCUUCUGAGGAGGUACCGAAGGGAGUGAGGAGGGAAUCAGAAGGGUUAUCUGAGGCUGAGCCGGGAGGAGUGAGAGAGGGGUCCAUACUUCACGUCACACAUCACUGAACAUGUUACACGUCACUGACCAUCGUCAUCAACAUCAUCGUUGUCAGAUUGUCACGCGCGCGCGUACAUUAGUUGUCCAAUUCUAUGUUAACACGUCAAUAAAUGUCCAUGCUAAAGUAAGAAACCGUG